GUUAGGGUUAGGUUUGGGUUAUGGUUGGGGUUGAUAGAUCCGGUGGAGGUUUGUUUGCACUGGCCUAAAGAUCUGUAUGUAAGUGUGUGUGGCUGUAUGAUGCUUUAUGUGUGAGCUGGUUCCUGUUCCUGUCGGGAUGGAUGGGUGAGGUGGCCGGAGCAGCUCUCCGCCCCGGGAGGCCCGGGUUCGACUCCCAGACGAGGCGGAGGACCAGGAUGUGGUUAGGGUUAGGGUUGGGGUUAGGGUUAGGUUUAGGGUUAGGGUUAGG